rnacentral:rRNA from 1 species
AACGAACGCUGGCGGCAGGCCUAACACAUGCAAGUCGAGCGAGAUCUUCGGGUCUAGCGGCGGACGGGUGAGUAACGCGUGGGAAUAUGCCCUUCUCUGCGGAAUAGCCUCGGUUAACUUAUCGUAAUACCGCAUACGCCCUUUGGGGGUAAGAUUUAUCGGAGAAGGAUUAGCCCGCGUUGGAUUAGGUUGUUGGUUUGGUAACGGCCUACCAAGCCGACGAUACAUAGCUGGUUUGAGAGGAUGAUCAGCCACACUGGGACUGAGACACGGCACAGAAUACUACGGGAGGCAGCAGUGGGGAAUAUUAGAAAAUGGGGGCAACACUGAUCUAGCCAUGCCGCGUGAGUGAUGAAGGCCUUAGGGUAGUAAAGCUCUAUAAGCUGGGAAGAUAAUGACGGUACCAGCAGAAGAAGCCCCGGCUAACUCCGUG